rnacentral:rRNA from 1 species
CCCUUAGAUGUUCUGGGCAGCACGCGCGCUACAAUGGUCUUCGCAAACGGAUGCAUUCUCGAAGGAGAAUGCCAAUCUUGGAAUUUAUGCCUUGGUCGGGACAGUUGCUUGCAAUUUUUCGACUCGAACCAGGAAUUCCUUGUAAUCGUGAUUCAUCACAUCACGAUGAAUACGUCCCUGCCCUUUGUACACACCGCCCGUCGCUCCUACCGAUCGAAGAGUUAGGUGAAUUGUUUUGAUCGAUAAGAUUUGACUAUGGUCAACUCUCGUUGUGAAAUUCUGUGAAUCUGACUGUUUAGAGGAAGGAAAAGUCGUAACA